UACGUAGGGUGCAGGCGUUAAUCGGAAUUACUGGGCGUAAAGCGUGCGCAGGCGGCUCCUUAAGUCAGAUGUGAAAUCCCCGGGCUUAACCUGGGAACUGCGUUUGAAACUGAGGGGCUUGAGUGUGGAAGAGGGGGGUGGAAUUCCAGGUGUAGCAGUGAAAUGCGUAGAGAUCUGGAGGAACACCGAUGGCGAAGGCAGCCCCCUGGGCUGACACUGACGCUGAGGCGCGAAAGCCAGGGGAGCGAACGGG
rnacentral:rRNA from 1 species